GAUGAACGCUGGCGGCGUGCCUAAUACAUGCAAGUCGAGCGAACGGACGAGAAGCUUGCUUCUCUGAUGUUAGCGGCGGACGGGUGAGUAACACGUGGAUAACCUACCUAUAAGACUGGGAUAACUUCGGGAAACCGGAGCUAAUACCGGAUAAUAUUUUGAACCGCAUGGUUCAAAAGUGAAAGACGGUCUUGCUGUCACUUAUAGAUGGAUCCGCGCUGCAUUAGCUAGUUGGUAAGGUAACGGCUUACCAAGGCAACGAUGCAUAGCCGACCUGAGAGGGUGAUCGGCCACUGGAACUGAGACACGGUCCAGACUCCUACGGGAGGCAGCAGUAGGGAAUCUUCCGCAAUGGGCGAAAGCCUGACGGAGCAACGCCGCGUGAGUGAUGAAGGUCUUCGGAUCGUAAAACUCUGUUAUCAGGGAAGAACAUAUGUGUAAGUAACUGUGCACAUCUUGACGGUACCUAAUCAGAAAGCCACGGCUAACUACGUG
rnacentral:rRNA from 1 species